AGAGUUUGAUCAUGGCUCAGAUUGAACGCUGGCGGAAUGCUUUACACAUGCAAGUCGAACGGCAGCACGGACUUCGGUCUGGUGGCGAGUGGCGAACGGGUGAGUAAUAUAUCGGAACGUAUCCAAUAAUGGGGGAUAACUAAUCGAAAGGUUGGCUAAUACCGCAUACGCCCUACGGGGGAAAGCAGGGGAUCUUCGGACCUUGCGUUAAUGGAGCGGCCGAUAUCUGAUUAGCUAGUUGGUGAGGUAAAAGCUCACCAAGGCGACGAUCAGUAGCUGGUCUGAGAGGACGACCAGCCACACUGGAACUGAGACACGGUCCAGACUCCUACGGGAGGCAGCAGUGGGGAAUUUUGGACAAUGGGCGAAAGCCUGAUCCAGCCAUUCCGCGUGAGUGAAGAAGGCCUUCGGGUUGUAAAGCUCUUUCGCAAGGGAAGAAACGAUGCAGUCGAAUAAACUGUGUUAAUGACGGUACCUUGAUAAGAAGCACCGGCUAACUACGUGCCAGCAGCCGCGGUAAUACGUAGGGUGCAAGCGUUAAUCGGAAUUACUGGGCGUAAAGCGUGCGCAGGCGGUUUUGUAAGUCAGAUGUGAAAUCCCCGAGCUCAACUUGGGAACUGCGUUUGAAACUACAAGACUAGAAUAUGUCAGAGGGGGGUAGAAUUCCACGUGUAGCAGUGAAAUGCGUAGAGAUGUGGAGGAAUACCAAUGGCGAAGGCAGCCCCCUGGGAUAAUAUUGACGCUCAUGCACGAAAGCGUGGG
rnacentral:rRNA from 1 species